AUUGAACGCUGGCGGCAGGCCUAACACAUGCAAGUCGAACGAGUGGCGGACGGGUGAGUAAUGUCUGGGAAACUGCCUGAUGGAGGGGGAUAACUACUGGAAACGGUAGCUAAUACGAAGUGCGAUUGCAUGAGCCGAUGUCGGAUUUGCUAGUUGGCGGGGUAACGGCCCACCAAGGCGACGAUCCGUAGCUGGUCUGAGAGGAUGAUCAGCCACACUGGAACUGAGACACGGUCCAGACUCCUACGGGAGGCAGCAGUGGGGAAUAUUGCACAAUGGGCGCAAGCCUGAUGCAGCCAUGCCGCGUGUAUGAAGAAGGCCUUCGGGUUGUAAAGUACUUUCAGCGGGGAGGCGUUACCCGCAGAAGAAGCACCGGCUAACUCCGUGCCAGCAGCCGCGGUAAUUC
rnacentral:rRNA from 1 species